AGACAUUUUACAGAAGGUGGUGUCACUUGGUACUCAGAGCAGCUCAGAAGAUAUAUAAUCUUACUCCCCAGGUACCAUUUUAAGCAGUACAAUGUCAUUUGAUCUUCAUAAAAACAACUUUGAGAUCUUCUUUUGCGAAACAUCAGUUCAAGUCAUUUGACCCAUUUUUUUCCAUGCUCACCGCAUUUGGAACAGCACAGCUCUGGAGGAGACAUAUCAGCUUUUGUACCAGGAGAAAUAGGAGUGUAGAUCCUGUAAAUUCUUUGCAGCCUAGUUCGAGGGAAAUGGCUAGCUUGCUUGACUG